rnacentral:rRNA from 1 species
UACGUAGGGUGCAAGCGUUGUCCGGAAUUAUUGGGCGCAAAGAGCUCGUAGGCGGUUUGUCGCGUCUGCUGUGAAAACGCGAGGCUCAACCUCGCGCCUGCAGUGGGUACGGGCAGACUAGAGUGCGGUAGGGGAGAUUGGAAUUCCUGGUGUAGCGGUGGAAUGCGCAGAUAUCAGGAGGAACACCGAUGGCGAAGGCAGAUCUCUGGGCCGUAACUGACGCUGAGGAGCGAAAGCGUGGGGAGCGAACAGG